AACAAUUCACAACAUUUCUUUAGGAAGGAGACGAGUGUGAAACGUUAAAUAGUUUGAGCUUCACAAACACCUUGGAUUUGAUUGAAGACCCGUUUCACUCCAUGUGGCUUUUACACAGUUACAUAUCGAACUACUCAACAAUAGACGUCCGACUUCUCGAAUUCAACGCCUUGAAGAAACGCUUACGGACAUUCUCGUGUUAUGUACAAGAUGACGUGCAAGGUGGAGUGGUGGUGGCGUGGGAUAAAGCACAGAACGGGUAUGCAGAAGGUUGCCAGUUCAAUCCCAACAACCACCACAAGGCUUCAGGUUGCUCCAAGGGGGUUGCAAUGUAAGACACUCUGGAUAAAAGCAUCUGCCAAAUGCAUAAAUGUAAAUAGAGCCUGCAUAGCCAGCGUCCUCACUGCAUAGUGAUGCCUGCCCACAGUGGGAGGUUCAGGCAUUGACAGACCACAGUUAUGCCUAAUGUUAGACAAGUCAACACAAUGCUGUUCAGAAGAACCCUCUUUAUUGUACACUAGCUUCAGUCUUAGUGUCUUCAAAGAGCAUUUUGAAGGGGUUUUCCUUUAAAACAACCUUCCUGGGGCGGGGGAGACCCCUUCUGUUUCCUGAGAACGCGGCGGAGCGUUCUGUCCACUAGGGGCCGGAAGACUGCCUCCGAUUCGCCCGGGGAGGAGCGGCUGUCGUCCAUUAGAGGGUGGAGGAGUGGCAGAGGACCAAGCUGCGGCAUAUCAGAGAACCGAUGAGUAGAUGGGGAUGACCUGCCGGCAGAAGGGGCAGAGGGCCCACCCCUCCCCACGGAAAGAGGGGUGGGAUGUACAUCAUGCCGGGGGCUCACCGGCCUGAGAGAAUGAGGGAGGAGUGUGGCAGGGCCGGGUCGUGAUGCUACACACCCGGCCCCUAAUCAGGCUAAUUGGCCCUCGAGAGGGAUAAAGGCCGACCGAAGACGGCAGUGCGACAGAGAGAGAGAUUUACAGACAGCUGUCCGACACCUGCGUGUGUUUGUCUUUUUGUAUAAGUUGCUUAUUAAACUAUUAUUUAAAUUGUCAAGCCAGUUCUCGCCUCCUCCUAUCCACUGAUCCCUUUACAGUAAACUUUCAUUUUACAAAUGUUCAAAUGUAAAUGUGCUGUAAUUACAGUAGUCACCAUUUCUUUGAAGUUUUGCACAAUUUUUAAUCACUUUUGCCUUCGCUAUUGUUCAUUUUAAAAGGACAUGCAGUGUGACAUGUUUUGUUAUUAAGUACAAAUACUCCAUGUAUUCGCUCAAUUAAUGAACUCGUAAAAUUCAACUAAUUCAAAUCUAUUAUGUUUAUUGUAAGGCUCUCAUUGCAGGCCUCUCUGCAUGUGCUAUAAGACCUCUACAAAUGACCCAGAAUGCAGCAGCAUGUCUGGUCUUUAAUGAACAGAGCACAUGUUACACCCCUCCUCGUCUCUCUCCACUGGCUGCCGGUUGAUGCACGUAUAAAAGUCAAGGCUCUGAUGCUGCAUACAGAAACAGAACAGUCACUGGGUCUGCUCCAACAUACCUAAAAUUAUUUAUGCAGAUCUACACUCCUGCCAGAAGCCUGCGGUCGGCUAAUGAACGUCGCCUUGUUGUACCAACACAAAGAGGCCCCAAAACACUUUCCCGGACUCUCAGUUUCAUCAUACCACGGUGGUGGAAUGACCUUCCCAACUCCAUCCAUGAAGCGGACUCACUCUCUAUCUUCAAAAAAUGGCUAAAAACACAUCUUUUCCAAGAGCACUUAACCGGUCACUAAGAAAACUAUUCUUGUUGCACUUAAAUCUGUUUUGUAUACUAUUCUGAUGAUAGUGAAACUUUGUAGUACGGCACUUUUUAUGGUCUCCUUAAGAGGAUUCGCUGAUGUUUUCCUCUUUUGUAAGUGGUUUUGGAUAAAAGCAUCUGCCAAAUUAAUUAAUGUAACUGCGUAAGUGAAAAGGUGCGGCUACAUUGUUACUCUUAAGUGUCUUGAAUUGCCUGGAUGCCACAAACCUGUUUAUAGUCAUGAGACUUAAAGACAAGCCACCAAGACAACAGUUUUAGCACACUGCAUAACCUGUGUGUCAAAAUGUCAUUAUUUAAAGCUUAUAAGACCGGGUGAAGACAGACUUGAUCUGAAGUGGAAAGAAAUGUUUUUCUGUCUAAUGUAUCCGUCAAUGAGUAUAAAUGUUGUUUAUUUUCAGAAACAUGUUUGACGCUGCAGGAUUUUAAACAAACACGAGUAUCACAGAUAAUUGUGUCCAUGAGAAUCUUUAUUUACAUUUAUAAACACUUGCCUGAUGGUACAUGAACAUCAAAUGAACUCGAACAUGUUCGUACAGUUGCUUUUUGUGUUUGCUAAAUUUCAUUAGACCUUUCUCAAAACAAGACUUCAAAUCUUUUGCCAGUUUGCUUGUCAAGUAAUUAAAUGACGUUUUAAGAAUGUUUACAUCAUUUUACUGGAAAACAAGACAAAAAUACUUGUCUUGAGAAUGAUUUAUUGCAGUGAAACUGGACUGACCAUGUUAUGAACGAUGUAUUCUUUCUUAACGAACAUAUCCUGAUAUAAUAUACUGCAGGAAAUAAGCAGGAGCUACACAAAUGACGGAUUAUACCCAGGGAAGUAAAAGUGACUGUUCAAGACAUUGUUCGUUUUAUUCGUGUGACCCCAGGAAGACUAGUGACCACUUUAUGGAAGCUCAUGAGGAUCAAAAUACAGAAUAUAGACACAUUGCCUCAACCAAUGAGGUGAGGACUGUUCAAACAGUUGAUGUCAUUAUUUUGCAAUGACACAUUUCACCUUUGAAAGCUCAUUUUCCAUUGAAGUGUUGAAGUGGGCUUUAUUUUAAGAAACACAGCUGGAGGUGGAAAAGAAAUACUUCAAGCAGCCAGCAGAUAGUGCUAUUGUUUUAGUUUGUUGUCUGUACCUGUCAUGACUUGCAGUGAUGUAGAGUCU